rnacentral:tRNA from 1 species
ACCUGGCUGGCUCAGUUGGUAGAGAGUCUGACUCCUGAUCACAGGGUGGUGAGUUCAAGCCCCACGUUGGGCA